rnacentral:rRNA from 1 species
GACGAACGCUGGCGGCGUGCUUAACACAUGCAAGUCGAACGGAAAAGCCCUGCUUGCCGGGUACUCGAGUGGCGAACGGGUGAGUAACACGUGGGUGAUCUGCCCUGCACUUCGGGAUAAGCCUGGGAAACUGGGUCUAAUACCGGAUAGGAGCCAUUUUUAGUGUGAUGGUUGGAAAGUUUUUUCGGUGUAGGAUGAGCUCGCGGCCUAUCAGCUUGUUGGUGGGGUAAUGGCCUACCAAGGCGGCGACGGGUAGCCGGCCUGAGAGGGUGGACGGCCACAGUGGGACUGAGAUACGGCCCAGACUCCUACGGGAGGCAGCAGUGGGGAAUAUUGCACAAUGGGCGCAAGCCUGAUGCAGCGACGCCGCGUGGGGGAGGACGGCCUUCGGGUUGUAAACUCCUUUCGCUAGGGACGAAGCUUUUUGUGACGGUACCUAGAGAAGAAGCACCGGCUAACUACGUG